GUAUGAUACUUAUGAAAAAUUGUAAAGAAAUGUUGUAUUCUGAGAAAAGUAUUAUGGUUCUGCAUGCCAUUGUAUGUUGAAAUUUGGGGGUCAAGCAUGUCUCACACCAAAUUGACCUCACACCUCGAGAAUUCAUUACUUGGACUAACCUGUGCUGGCAAAUGCUUAUUGUGACAAAACAAGAUAAAGGGAAAGAAGCAUAAUUGUCACGGCGUUGCCUAGGCGUCUAGGCUCUUUCUUGGUCCAAGGCAACAACAUGUAGCCAAUCCCAUUUAUUUGGGAUAAGGCUGAGUUGAGUUGGACAUCUAGCAAUACUUGAAAAAUGCUUUUGCUGCCGCACUCUUUCGUUAUAUGUAAUUGAAAUGGUUACUGUGCACCCCCUGCUUUUGGUUACUCUGAUUUUACUUCUUUAUGUAUGUCUCCUAACUUAUACACUUUUUUAUUUUUUGUGUUUUCUAAAUCCUGUCCUUCCCUUUCUCCAGAUGAGUGGUUUUUGUUUACAGUAUGAAUGAUUGUUCGUCUUGCAUCUCUUCUCAACAAAUGAUUGUGUUAUUAUAGGUUACUUAUGUUCUCAUUUCCGUAUCAUCUUUUUUGAUAUUAUAUUCCAGUUUUACAGGGUGAUUUGUAGUUCUGAUAUUAACUUUUAAUUUUCUGUUAGCUCUGCAAGACUGCUGAAGAAAACCCUGACAUUUUAUUCUUAAAAGUGAAUUUUGAUGAGAACAAGUCUAUGUGUAAAAGCUUGAAUGUAAAGGUGCUUCCUUAUUUUCACUUCUAUCGUGGAGCAGAUGGGCUAUUGGAAUCAUUUUCGUGCUCACUUGCAAAGUUUCAGAGAAUAAAGGAUGCCAUUGCAACACAUAACACGGCUCGAUGUAGCAUUGGUCCACCCUGAGGCAUUGAAGAUUAUAACCUUCCUGAAACCUCCCCGGUUGCAGCUGCAAAGGACAAGAUAGUUGAAUCUAGUUCAAGAUAAAUCCUUAUUUCCAUUUAUCAAUCAUUGAUCUUGUUGUGUCUUUGUGCAAAGGACACUAAGCUGGUGCUUUACAAGCAGUUCAUGGUGGAGGGGUCCUCACUCCUAAAUUGUAUAUGCUUAGCUUUUCUUGUAAAAGAAUUCUUCAGAAGUCCAGGUUCUGCUGUAUUCUGUGCAAUUCUUUUUAGCUUGCAAUGUACAAUAUUAAAGAUAUCUUGUUUGAAAAGGAAAUUCUAGAUUCUAAACAUUCAUUCAAUAUACUCUUUUUGUCUACUUGGUGUUACUC